rnacentral:rRNA from 1 species
GUAGGGUGCAAGCGUUGUCCGGAAUUAUUGGGCGUAAAGAGCUCGUAGGCGGUCUGUCGCGUCGGAUGUGAAAAUCCAGGGCUCAACCCUGGACCUGCAUUCGAUACGGGCAGACUAGAGUUCGGCAGGGGAGACUGGAAUUCCUGGUGUAGCGGUGAAAUGCGCAGAUAUCAGGAGGAACACCGGUGGCGAAGGCGGGUCUCUGGGCCGAUACUGACGCUGAGGAGCGAAAGCGUGGGGAGCGAACAGGAUUAGAUACCCUGGUAGUCCACGCCGUAAACGUUGGGCGCUAGGUGUGGGGAACCUUCCACGUUCUCCGUGCCGCAGCUAACGCAUUAAGCGCCCCGCCUGGGGAGUACGGCCGCAAGGCUA